rnacentral:tRNA from 1 species
UCCCUGGUGGUCCAGUAGUAAGGACUCCAUGCUCCUAAUGCAGGGGCCCGGGUUCAGUCCCUGGUCAGGGAA